rnacentral:misc_RNA from 1 species
AUGCACACCAGCUGCAUACGUGCGGUGCAGAGCAUCACCUGAGCAGACACAUCACAGUCGCAUGUACACAGACAACUUAUAUAUACCGCAUUAUCGAUCGACUUCGCAUGGGUCUCUUUUCUUCCAAGCACGCUCGCGGCGAUGAUGGCAAGCCCCUCUCGCUCGAUGUGAUUGCCAGCCGCCCGAGGCUGGAGCCGCACGAGGUCAGUCUCCUCCAGCUCACACUCCAUGGCGUGUACGCAACGCUGGCGGCGCAUGUCUACUGCGCUGCAGCGCCAGAGACGGCGAUGCAGGUGCCCCUGCCUGAGGGCUGGGAGGUUUUGCUCCAGUGCUCGAGUCUGCACCUUGACAAGGAGGGGUACUUCGCCGUCGCGUACGUGCACCGCGGCUCGCGCCACUGCAUCAUAUCGGAGCGUGGAACCUCGGAGGUUCUCGGACUCCGCGCCGGCAUCUGGAUGUACUUUGAGCAGCCCACUAUUCAGUUCUUCUUGGCGGCGCAGUUUUCCAAGGCGGUGCGGCACAAGCUGGAGGUGAUGGAUAGAGUCUGCAGUGGGUCGUGGUUCGUCUCCUACACUGGGCACAGCCUCGGCGCCGUCAUCGCUGGCUGCCGCGCGGUGGAGGAGGGCACGCUAGCCGUCACCUUCGAAUCGCCCGGUGCGCGGGUCUUCAUUGAAAAGACGCUUGACGCCUCCAGUAGCAUGGAUGGGCACCUUAUCACCUACUUGCGGGCUCCCAACCCGAUCAACACACUGAAGCCGCAGUGCGGCUAUGUGAUAAUGAUACCAACUCAGCAGGUCGUGUUGCCCAGCGGUACCCUCUUUCUCGCACCGUCCAACCCGGCCGCCGCCGAAGACGAAGACGAGAGGCAGUCACCGAGGAGCGGGAGCGGUAGCAGGGCGUCCCGCAUGCCCAGCAAAGUCCCCCUGUCGUCGACAUCCUCCACAAACCCGAGUGGGUACGCCGGUCUAGUGGCAGCCCCGGUUACCACGGCUGCAUCGACGGGCACCACUGCAGCCGCAACGCUUGCGGCUCGAUCACCAACCCCACCCUCUGUGCCUGCCAGUAAUAGCAACAAUAGCGGCCCCGGAGUUGCCGUCGCCAGUGCGCCGGCUCGUUGGAGAAUCCCGUCCUUCCGUCCGCAAGAGUACCUGCGCGGUUAUCUGUUUGGCGGGGUGGGCAUGGGCGUUCCGGAGCUGCAGCAGUAUGUGGGUAAGGUGGAGCCGAUGAUUCGCGAGAUGCUCGAGCACACGCAGCAGGUGCACUCUAUUCACAGCCUGCGCAGCCACUUUCAGAAAAGUGACGAGCCAGGCGACGAGGAGGUGGUGCUGCGGUGGCCCUCGCAUCUGCUCCAGUUCAUGGAGUUCUACAACACCACCCGCGCACUCGAGGACCCAGAGAACCAGGAUGCCGGAGUGAAGGAGGCGUAUCUGGGGCUCAUGCGGCGACUCUACUACACCGAGCCGCGCCGUCGUGACUGCAUCCCAACCAAGUAUCUGGACUCUAGGAGUCUUCUUGUUGCGCGGAUGUGGUGGAGCAUGGACGCGGCGCAGCGGAAGCAGUGGCCGCUGUCGCUCAUGGAUCACAAAGCGCUCAACGUUAUUCAGAUCAAGGACAGAUAUCUGUGUUCGUAUGCGAUGACUGCCAUGCAAGCCAAGCAGUAUUUGAUGCGCCUCGUAGCGCGCCCCGAGAUGCGUGCGAUGAUCGACCAGUGGCAGAGAGAGCGAACCGGCGGUAGCACAGGCGCUGGUUCACCGCAGAGAAGCAUGCUGUGACUUCCCCCCCCACCCCAGACCUGCGCCAAAGCAAAGCAGAAGCAGCAUGCCCUCAGAAAAAGAAUGCCGCGAGACCAUUGUAUGCAGCAC